AGAGUUUGAUCCUGGCUCAGAACGAACGCUGGCGGCGUGGAUAAGACAUGCAAGUCGAACGAGAGAAUUGCUAGCUUGCUAAUAAUUCUCUAGUGGCGCACGGGUGAGUAACACGUGAGUAACCUGCCCCCGAGAGCGGGAUAGCCCUGGGAAACUGGGAUUAAUACCGCAUAGUAUCGAAAGAUUAAAGCAGCAAUGCGCUUGGGGAUGGGCUCGCGGCCUAUUAGUUAGUUGGUGAGGUAACGGCUCACCAAGGCGAUGACGGGUAGCCGGUCUGAGAGGAUGUCCGGCCACACUGGAACUGAGACACGGUCCAGACACCUACGGGUGGCAGCAGUCGAGAAUCAUUCACAAUGGGGGAAACCCUGAUGGUGCGACGCCGCGUGGGGGAAUGAAGGUCUUCGGAUUGUAAACCCCUGUCAUGUGGGAGCAAAUUAAAAAGAUAGUACCACAAGAGGAAGAGACGGCUAACUCUGUGCCAGCAGCCGCGGUAAUACAGAGGUCUCAAGCGUUGUUCGGAAUCACUGGGCGUAAAGCGUGCGUAGGCUGUUUCGUAAGUCGUGUGUGAAAGGCGCGGGCUCAACCCGCGGACGGCACAUGAUACUGCGAGACUAGAGUAAUGGAGGGGGAACCGGAAUUCUCGGUGUAGCAGUGAAAUGCGUAGAUAUCGAGAGGAACACUCGUGGCGAAGGCGGGUUCCUGGACAUUAACUGACGCUGAGGCACGAAGGCCAGGGGAGCGAAAGGGAUUAGAUACCCCUGUAGUCCUGGCAGUAAACGGUGCACGCUUGGUGGCGGGGGGAAUCGACCCCCUGCGUGCCGGAGCUAACGCGUUAAGCGUGCCGCCUGGGGAGUACGGUCGCAAGAUUAAAACUCAGGGAAAUUGACGGGGACCCGCACAAGCGGUGGAGUAUGUGGCUUAAUUCGAUGCAACGCGAAGAACCUUACCUGGGCUUGACAUGUAAUGAACAACAUGUGAAAGCAUGCGACUCUUCGGAGGCGUUACACAGGUGCUGCAUGGCCGUCGUCAGCUCGUGUCGUGAGAUGUUUGGUUAAGUCCAGCAACGAGCGCAACCCCUGUUGCCAGUUACCAGCACGUGAAGGUGGGGACUCUGGCGAGACUGCCCAGAUCAACUGGGAGGAAGGUGGGGACGACGUCAGGUCAGUAUGGCCCUUAUGCCCAGGGCUGCACACGUACUACAAUGCCCAGUACAGAGGGGGCCGAAGCCGCGAGGCGGAGGAAAUCCUGAAAACUGGGCCCAGUUCGGACUGUAGGCUGCAACCCGCCUACACGAAGCCGGAAUCGCUAGUAAUGGCGCAUCAGCUACGGCGCCGUGAAUACGUUCCCGGGUCUUGCACACACCGCCCGUCA
rnacentral:rRNA from 1 species